rnacentral:rRNA from 1 species
CCUACGGGCGGCAGCAGUAGGGAAUCUUUCACAAUGGGCGAAAGCCUGAUGGAGCAACGCCGCGUGCAGGAUGAAGGCCUUCGGGUUGUAAACUGCUUUUAUAAGCGAGAAAUAUGAUGGUAACUUAUGAAUAAGGAUCGGCUAGCUACGUGCCAGCAGCCGCGGUCAUACGUAGGAUCCGAGCAUUAUCCGGAGUGACUGGGUGUAAAGAGUUGCGUAGGUGGCAUAAUAAGUAGCUAGUGAAAUCUGGUGGCUCAACCAUUCAGACUAUUAGCUAAACUGUUAAGCUCGAGACCGUUAGGGGUAACUGGAAUUUCUAGUGUAGGAGUGAAAUCCGUAGAUAUUAGAAGGAACACCAAUAGCGUAGGCAGGUUGCUGGGACGGUUCUGACACUAAGGCACGAAAGCGUAGGGAGCAAACGGGAUUAGAUACCCGAGUAGUC